GGCGCUAUGGUGUAGAGGUUAUCACUUCAGAUUCUGACUAUUCGUUACCUUCUGGAAACCCAGGUUCGAGUCCUGGUAGUGCCU